UACGUAGGGUGCAAGCGUUGUCCGGAAUUAUUGGGCGUAAAGAGCUCGUAGGCGGUCUGUCGCGUCGGCUGUGAAAACCCGGGCUCAACCCGGGCCUGCAGUCGAUACGGGCAGACUAGAGUGCGGUAGGGGAGACUGGAAUUCCUGGUGUAGCGGUGAAAUGCGCAGAUAUCGGGAGGAACACCGGUGGCGAAGGCGGUUCUCUGGGCCUGUACUGACGCUGAGGAGCGAAAGCGUGGGGAGCGAACAGG
rnacentral:rRNA from 1 species